CAAGAAAGCACAUGGCUAAUAUAGUUGAUGAAAGGAUCUACAUCAACCAGUAAGCUAUAAUGUGGAUUAUAUUGCAACAAUCAAUCAGCUAUUUGUAUAGCAGAAAAUCAAGUAUACCACGCAAGAACUAAGCACUUCAAAGUACAUGUUCGUCAAAUUCUCGCAAGCAUACGGGUUUGUUGUACAAGUAAUAAUCGUUAUGAGAGAGUUAUGGUCCCACAGGGAGCAAAGAUCAAUUUUAGUAUAUUUGAUAUAUUUAAAUUCAUGUUUGUAACCAAAAGAUGAUCGAAUGAUUAUCUAACUAAUUUUUAUAACUAAAACUUGUGAAAAUAAUGAAAGUUGGUUUAAAAAUCAAAUGUGCAAACGUAUUGGAUUUUCGACGCCAUUGAUCAAUUCUUAGUUCUAAUUCUCAACCAGUGAUAAUUAUCUCAAUUCAUGCAAUUGCCACAAUCAAUAAUUUCACUUUUAUUUAUUAUUCUUUCCCAAGAUAUAAUAAACAUAUGGUCACCACGAGAUGAUCAUAUUCCUAGUCCGAAUUCAUAUGACAAACAUGCAUUGACAUUUAGGAUUAUCACAUAUGAUCGCACACGCCACAAAUAUUUUUCCUAACAUUUAUUAUAUGUGUAUUCGAAUAAUAGUGUUCUACCUAACGUGAGUUUUCCAACACUACGAAUAAGUAACUUAUUGUCCAAAUGGUGCGCAGACAUUAAAAUAAUAUAAAUAUGCAAAUUAAUAAAAUCACAACACAAUAAUUAAGAUAAAAACACAAGUCUCGAAUUAAACUAAGAAUUAAACAAUUUUGUCAUCCAUCCAAUACAUGAAAAUAAUUAGCCUAGCAUAAAAUUGGAAUUAAACACAUAAAAAUGGAAGGAAAUCACCGAAAAUUGACGGGACAUGAUUGACUCCAUGAAUUUGCUCGACUUUUUCACGUGUAUGUUGAUUUCUCCGAGGCAGCUGUCCACUUCUCUUCUUUUACUCAAAGCUUUCCUUCCAACGGCUCCAAAUUAUAUAUUUUAUGUGUGUGUGUAUAUCUAUAUAUAUAUAUAUAUAUAUAUAUAUAUAUAUAUAUAUAUAUAUAUAUAUAUAUAUAUAUAUAUAUAAAUUCCAGCCCUCCAAUUUCUUUGUUGCGUGUGUAUAUAAAUAUAAAUCAACCCCAAACAACUAUGAAAGUGAAAUCAAUUCAGCCACUAAUUUCCUCCCUUUUUUGCAGUAUGAUGUGUAUAUAUAUUCAACCCAGCAGCACUUUUAAUACGGUUGGCGUGUAUAAUUCCAGUAGGUUGGCAGCCUCUUUUUGUUCGUAGAAAAAAAAAAAAAAGAACUCCAUCAGCCCCCCAACCUGCUACCCAAUUAUCUGUGUAUAUGUUUCCCCCAAGCAGCUGUUUUCG
rnacentral:lncRNA from 1 species